AGCGGCGGCGACGCGGCGGGGCCACACCUCUUCCCAUUCCGAACAGAGAAGUUAAGCCCGCAUGCGCCGAUGGUACUGCCCGGAAGGGUGGGAGAGCAGGCGGCUGCCGCCU
rnacentral:rRNA from 1 species